GGAGGAGCCUGCGGAGGGAACCCUUGGCUUUAGGAAGAGCGGUGCCAGCGGGUCAGGGGGGUGAUCCUGCUGCUCUGUUUAGACCAGGUAAAGAAGUGUGCCAAGAGGAUGGAUUCAGGCUCUGUUUUGUUGAUGCUGAGCAACAGGACAAGAGGAAUGGGCAGGAACUGAUGCCCAGGAAGUUCCACCUGAACGGUGACCGAGCACUGGGACAGAUUGUCCAGGGAGGCUGUGGACUCUCCCUUACUGGAGAUAUUCCAGAGCCAUCUGGACACAUUCCUGUGCCACAUCCUCCAGGGAGGUUGGACCUGUGACUCACUGUGGUCCCUUCCAGCCUGACCAUUCUGUGAUUGUGAACUGCUGCCCCUGGCCUCUGGCAGGGCACCAGCUCACCCCUGUCCUGCCGGAGAGGGAGAAGAUGCUCCCUUGUACCUGCUGUCCCCAUCUGUCACCCCGGCAGCCUCUUCCACUCCACGUGCUCCAGAGUGGUGGCUGGACCCAUCUGCACCGCCCAGCACUGCCAGUGGGAUCCCCAGGCAGGCAGCCCCCAGCCUGGGCAGGUGUGCACAGGUGCUUCCCUGCAGCACUGUCAGAUACACACAAAGGUAUUUCUGGUGCCAAACAUUCACAGAUCAUCUGAAAGCCGAGGGAAACAUUCAGCAGGACUUCAUUAAAGAAGAAAGAAUGCAUUUAC